GGAUCUGUAGUUGAUAAACAACAUUAAAUUGCAAAUUUAAAAGAGUAACAUAUACCAGAUCUU
rnacentral:tRNA from 1 species